UACAGAGGGUGCGAGCGUUAAUCGGAAUUACUGGGCGUAAAGCGCGCGUAGGCGGCUUUGCAAGUCGGGUGUGAAAUCCCUCGGCUCAACCGAGGAACGUCGAUCGAUACUGCUGUUCUUGAGGAUUGCAGAGGAGACUGGAAUUCCCGGUGUAGCGGUGAAAUGUGUAGAGAUCGGGAGGAACACCGGUGGCGAAGGCGGGUCUCUGGGCAAUUCCUGACGGCUGAGGCGCGAAAGCGUGGG
rnacentral:rRNA from 1 species